GACGAACGCUGGCGGCGUGCUUAACACAUGCAAGUCGAACGGAAAGGCCCUGCUUGCAGGGUACUCGAGUGGCGAACGGGUGAGUAAUACGUGGGUGAUCUGCCCUGCACUUCGGGAUAAGCCUGGGAAACUGGGUCUAAUACCGGAUAGGAGCCAUUUUUAGUGUGAUGGUUGGAAAGUUUUUUCGGUGUAGGAUGAGCUCGCGGCCUAUCAGCUUGUUGGUGGGGUAAUGGCCUACCAAGGCGGCGACGGGUAGCCGGCCUGAGAGGGUGGACGGCCACAUUGGGACUGAGAUACGGCCCAGACUCCUACGGGAGGCAGCAGUGGGGAAUAUUGCACAAUGGGCGCAAGCCUGAUGCAGCGACGCCGCGUGGGGGAUGACGGCCUUCGGGUUGUAAACUCCUUUCGCUAGGGACGAAGCUUUUGUGACGGUACCUAGAUAAGAAGCACCGGCUAACUACGUG
rnacentral:rRNA from 1 species